rnacentral:rRNA from 1 species
UACGGAGGGUGCGAGCGUUGUCCGGAAUCACUGGGCGUAAAGCGCGCGUAGGCGGACAUUUAAGUCAGGGGUGAAAUGCCGGGGCUCAACCUCGGAACUGCCUUUGAUACUGGAUGUCUGGAGUUCGGGAGAGGUGAGUGGAAUUCCGAGUGUAGAGGUGAAAUUCGUAGAUAUUCGGAGGAACACCAGAAGCGAAGGCGGCUCACUGGCCCGAUACUGACGCUGAGGCGCGAAAGCGUGGGGAGCAAACAGG